GAUGAACGCUGGCGGCGUGCCUAAUACAUGCAAGUCGAGCGAACGGACGAGAAUCUUGCUUCUCUGAUGUUAGCGGCGGACGUGUGUGUAACACGUGGAUAACCUCCCUAUAAGACUGGGAUAACUUCGGGAAACCGGCGCUAAUACCGGAUAAUAUUUUGAACCGCAUGGUUCAAAAGUGAAAGACGGUCUUGCUGUCACUUAUAGAUGGAUCCGCGCUGCAUUAGCUAGUUGGUAAGGUAACGGCUUACCAAGGCAACGAUGCAUAGCCGACCUGAGAGGGUGAUCGGCCACACGGGAACUGAGACACGGUCCAGACUCCUACGGGAGGCAGCAGUAGGGAAUCUUCCGCAAUGGGCGAAAGCCUGACGGAGCAACGCCGCGUGAGUGAUGAAGGUGUGCGGAUCGUAAAACGCUGUUAUUAGGGAAGAACAAAUGUGUAAGUAACUGUGAAGAUCUUGACGGUACCUAAUCAGAAAGCCACGGCUAACUACGUG
rnacentral:rRNA from 1 species